rnacentral:rRNA from 1 species
UACGUAGGGUGCGAGCGUUGUCCGGAAUUAUUGGGCGUAAAGGGGCUCGUAGGCGGUCUGUCGCGUCGGUAGUGAAAACUCAGGGCUUAACCCUGAGCCUGCUUCCGAUACGGGCAGACUAGAGGUAUGCAGGGGAGAAUGGAAUUCCUGGUGUAGCGGUGAAAUGCGCAGAUAUCAGGAGGAACACCAAUGGCGAAGGCAGCUCGCUGGAACGGUACUGACGCUGAGGCGCGAAAGCGUGGGGAGCGAACAGG